GCCGCCACCGCCGCCCGCCUGGACCGCUCGGACCGCCGGGACCGGCGCCGGGCGACGGGCCCGAGACGGCGCUCCGCGCCCCGGAUUCGCCUCGGCUCGGCCGCGCGUAUAUUUUCCUUCCUCCAUGAUCUCCAACACUGAUAAAGUGGAAGAAACUGAGGUACCAUGAAAGAGAAAAGUAACGUGGACUGAGAAAAAGAAAGAGGUAGGGGGUUACACGCGCAUUGUCAUCUGACUUUCUGCUCCAUGCUUUCCCACUGCACCCCAGUGUUGAUCUUAAAAGUGAUACCAGGAAUCAGAUGGAAGGCUGCAAAGGAGCCCAAAAGUAGCUUUCUCAUCGAGCGAUUUGGUCAGAGAAGUCAUAAAAUAAAACUUGCCAGUUGAGUAAUGCUAGCAAAGGAUGGAGGGCAAGUAGCUCCGUGGGACCCUGUUUCAUUCUUAUCCUUUUCUUCCUCCAGUUUCCAGCCAUUCUUUUGAUCUCAUUUUGCCCUUUCCCUUGCUUCCCAUCCCUUGCCUGUGGAAUCAUUUCUCUCCUGGGUUAUUCCCACCUUUUAGGUUUGGCUGCCAGCCGGCCAGCAGUCCCUGCAGGGUUUGGGGGUACCUUCACAAGGAGCGGUAGGUAGGCAGCAACCAGAAAGGAAUAGUGGCAGGGCACAUUUUUGCUUACAAGGCUUACAGUAUUCUUUAUUGAUGUGCCAACCCCCGCCCCCCAUAAUACACCUUAUUGAGCAUUGAUUUCCAUCUUUUUCUUAACCUGGACUUUGGAAUUCUUUUUGCCUCUGCUCCCGUAUCAUUCCUGUCUUGAGUGUAACUCCAGUUCCUCUUCCAUUCGAUUUUGUUAUGUCCUCUUUCUCAGCCCCUCUGUACUAGUUCAUCUGGGUGGCCCCCUCUUUCUGUAUAUGGGCUUCUGUGAAUGUGUGUGUUUUUUCAUCGAGGCUGUCUUUCUCUCUCCUGGACUCAGGCUCUGUCACCUCUAAGUGACUUUCCAUCUCUGUCUUCUUUCUGUUUACUUCUGUCUUCCGGGCUCCAACUGUGUGUGCCUCCCCCUCUUUCUGGCCCCCCUGUGUGUGUCUGGGAAGCAUGUCCCCAUGUGUAUGUGGCAGCCCUGCGCAUCCUGGUGCACCACAGGCUCUCUGCCUGUGUGCCCUUUGCCUGUGCUGAGCGCCUCCGCCUGCCUGCCACAUGUGCCCCGAGCUUCAGGUGUGGGUGGCUGAGGGUGGCUGUGUGCAUCCCUGUACAAACAUUCAUCAUUCUCCCCGGGUGUGCUUUGCACAUGGAUCUGUUAAUCUGCCUGAUUUUCCCUCUUGUCCAUCUCCCUCUCUGCCUGCCGGCAUCUCCUGUUCCCUUUUCUCUCCCUACUGACCUCUUGAUUUUUCUUCUUCUCUGCUUGUUUCCGCCUGCCUCUCUACCUGCUUGCUCCUGUUAUGGUGUCUGCCUGCCUGCCUGUCUGCUCCUCCCUGACUGGCUGGCAGCCUCUUUCUCUCUCUGGUUGUCUGUCUGCUUCUCUGGCUGUUUGCCCACCACUCUCUCUCUAGCCAUCUGUCUCCCCGCCUGCCUGUCUCUAUCACUUUUUUAGUCUCCGACUCUUGGUUUGUCUACCUUCCAGGCCCUGCCAUAGUUCCCUGUCUUGGUUUGCCUCUUAUCUUGCCCUUCGACUUGUUCUUCCUCUUCUUUAUGCCUGUGUCCUUGCCAUCCUUUACGUCUGUCUUCUUGCCUGUCUGCCCGCUGUUGAAGGCUCAUUUCUUUCCAGUGUGUCUGCCUCUCAGCUUUUUCUCCCUUGGCUCCCCCUAUUCCAGCAUCCCUUCCGUGGUGAUGAUGGUCUCACUACCCCAGAGUGUCAGUGGUCCGCUUGCCCUAAAGUCUUAGCUGCCGUCUUGCCCUCUCCUCUACCCUGCCUUCCUCUCACUGCUUGCCUCGGUUUCCAUUCUUUUUCUUUGUAUCUUUUUGGUUCCUCACACAGUCAGCCUGCCUCAGUCUUUUUGCCAUUGUCCCAGUCUCUCCUUGUUUUCCCGUUUUGUUGCUGUCUGUCUGCCUGGCUGGCUCUUGCUGUCCACAUCUCUGCUUGCUUUUUUUCCCCCCCUUUUCUUCUUUUCCAUCAACUUUUAAAUAGAUAGUACAUACACACGGUACAAUAUUUUUAUUUUUAUUUUUCAGCUGCACCUGCAGCACCCAGAAGUUCCCAGGCCAGGGAUCCAACUCGUGCCACAGCAGUGACACCGCUGGAUCCUUAACCCACUGAGCCACCAGGGAUCUCCCCCAAAUUUUCAAAGUACUAAAAGUAUCCUCUGUGAGAGUAAGCCUCCCUCCUGCACCCCUCUUCUUCUCCUCUGAGGUAGUCACUACACAUUUCUUGGAUCAGAUUCCAAAGAAGAGUCUACACACAUGUAUAAGUCUACUUGCUUUUUGCGUCAUGUCUUCCUAAUUAUCUCCCAGUUUUGCUGGAUGGCUUCUUCCUCUGUCCGUGUCAGUACUCCUUCCAACUUCACCCGGCUUGCCAUUUCUGGCAUAUUAACUUUUUUUUUUUUUUUUUUUUUGUCUUUUAGCCUUUCCUGGGGCUGCUCCUGCGGCAUAUGGAGAUUCCCAGGCUAGGGGUCUAAUCAGAGCUGUAGCUGCUGACCUUCCCCAGAACCACAGCAAUGUGGGAUCCGACCCUCAUCUGUGACCCCACAGCUCACGGCAACAUCAGACCCUCAACCCACCGAGCAAGGCCAGGGAUCGAACCGCAACCUCAUGGUUCCUAGUCGGAUUUGUUAACCACGGAGCCACGACGGGAACUCCCAUAUUGGCUUUUUGAUUCUAUUUCAUGGCACGUGUCUUUUUGAUUGACUGCUUGCUGGUCUCAUGCUUUUCCUACCAGGACUUGAGAAAUACUUGGGAAGGGCUUGCUCUUUCCUAAUUUCCUAGUCUACUCUGCGCCAUAACUUGCCCUGAAGACAGCACACCAUUGCUGGUCUCUCUUCCUCACUGAAGUCAGUAUUAAUUGAGAACAGACAGGAAAGCACUGGUAGCACUGAAAAAUAGCCUGUAAAUAAAGGUAUGGUCAGUAAGUGCAGAUGGUUUGUAAGCUUAGCUUACAUGCACAUGGCGUCUGUAAGGGCCCACUGCUUUUCCCACAGUCUGUAUAUGAAUUCUUUAAAGAACUAUGAAUCUAGAUCCUUUUAGGUUCAGCAGCACCCUUAGGCUGUUGACCUAGGCCUGUUGAAGAAAUUUGUCUUCCUCCUAGUCUAAAAAACUUUGCUUCUUACUAAAACUUUUCUCCCUUUUUCAUCUUUCCUCCUGGCUCCUCUCACAUGCCACCUUAGAGACGUUAUAACUCUUUGGGGACCUCGAUCCAGGUCCUUCAGAAAAAUUAUGAUAAAACUUUUACACGCAGUCUACUAUUUUUUCAUUCCUGCCUUUUCUCUGUCUGUAUUCCUGAAUUUAAGGGUUUCAGCCUCUGUCUCUGUCUGUCUCCUCUCUUUCCCCCUCUUCCUCUCACUUCUCUUUUCUUGGUUCUGUCUUUUCUCUUAACUGACUGUCUUGGGCUCUAUUCUAGCCUCUCUUUCUGAUUGGCCACCUUCCCUCUCUUCUGUCUGAUUGGCCUGGAUCCCUCCAUCACCCCAUCUGUCUGCUGGAUUCUCCCUGUCUGCCUGCAAUAAUGUAUGUGAUAGCACUUUAUGAAUUAUAAAGCACUGCGUAGUCUAAAACACUCUUAUCACUUUGUCCUCUUUCUUUGCUCAUUGUUUUCUUUCUCUGUCUGCCUUCCUUCUCUCUUUGUCCUUUUCUGUUUGCCUGUCUGCAUCCCUCUUGGUCAUCUUGCCUGCAUGUCAGUAAUUCUUCUUUCUCUCCUCACAGCCUGUUUUUUGGCCAUUCUUCUCUGUCUCCUCGGUUCUUAUGUCUCUCCUGUGUCUCCAGGUUCCUCUCCUCUCUUUCAGCUGUCUAUUCUGUCUGUCCUUAGGCCUUUUAUCUGUGCCUGUGUGUCUUGCUCUUUCUAGCUGUUUGUCUCCCUGCCUGUCAGUUCCAAUGUAGGCACCACUUUACCUUUUUCUAUCUUUCUGUAUUUCAAAAAAUUAAAAUUAAAAUACUUACUGUUUGACUAAUUGGUAGAAUUUUUUGUUUUUAAUAAGAAGACCAUUAGGUGAGAACAAGGAACUCAGGGAUGCAGCUGUCAGAUGCCAACCAGAAAUUAGAUGCUCCCAUGCAAGAGAAAAAAAAUUGUAAGGGACUCCCAAGCCAGUGAUAAGAUUAUUUAUUUAAAACAAAAGCUAGGAGGUCUUCUGUGGUGCAGUGGGUUAAGGAUCCAGUGUUGUCACUGUAACGGCUUAGGUCACUGCUGUGGCACAGGUUCAAUCCCUGGCCAGGGAGACAGCCACAUGCUAUGGGUGUGGCCAAAGAAAACGCCUUUCUAAAAAUGGAGUAGAUGUAUGGAUGGAUGUCCAUGAUAGAUUUUAUAAGGAAAAUAAGUUUUUAUACCUCUGUACAAGUUGAAAAUUUUUUAACAUGUGUACUUCUUUAAAGUUACAAAAUAAUAUUUUUAAUAUCUUUCUGUUAAAAUAAUGGUGAUGGGCCUAUAGGUGGGUUUAGUUUGUGUUCUCAAUGUCAUUAAUCAGCACAAUAAAAAGUCAGCAACUCCA